rnacentral:lncRNA from 1 species
CAGCCUCCCACCGCGGGGCGCGGCCCGGGCUGCCGGGAGUGCUGCGCGCCGCGACCCCCAGACAGCUGGGACCCCCGCGGGGUGCUCACAAGACCGGACCCUUCCCCUGAAGGAUGUCCCGCCGAGCGCCUAGCCACCUCUUGUUUGUUACAAGUGACCUGACACCACCGAAGGAUGGAGCUGAGAGGUGGGAAGAAUGUCACCUUGGCUGACUUCAAUGAUCCCACAGGGCACUCUUGGAAGGGCUCUGUGUACCAAUUCUUGCUCAGCCUCUUUGUUGUGAUCUGAGAAGAGUCUCUCCAAGUCCCCAUGCCUCUGUUCUGGCUCCUAUCCUGAGUGAGAUGGACACUUCAGAAGGGCUAGGAUCUGGCACAAAGCACACUGCUUACUAGUGUGAGAAUUGCCAGAUGGGAAUAAAAGCAAUGGCACUAAACAUGCCUUGACCGCAGCCAGUCAUCCCAGGGCACUGAGAACAAGGGAGACUCUGCUAAUACUCACCAAGGGUUGAUCAAGUUCCUUGGGUAUCUGCUA